rnacentral:pre_miRNA from 1 species
UCCAACUUUGACUGUCCGUCUUAUAUGAAAUUUUUUUAUAAUUCGUAUUUUUAUUGUUGUUAGAUGAUAAAACAUGAUUAAUAUUUUAUGCGUGACUUGUCUUUUUAAUUUUUUUCAUAAUUUUUUCAAAUAAGACGGACAGUCAAACGUUGGACACGGAAACU